rnacentral:rRNA from 1 species
AUGGCCUUGGUGCGAAAGUACGACAAGCCUGACAUAUUCCUCACAAUAACAUGCAACCCAAACUGGGAUGAGAUCAAACGCAAGCUCUACCCUGGUCAGACACCACAGGUUCAGCCAUACCUCAUCGUGCGUGUUUUUAGGGCGAAAAUGGAGGAACUAAAAAUAUUGCUUCAGAAGGACAUCCUGGGCAAGGUCAGAGCAUAUGUGUAUGUGGUGGAGUUCCAAAAGAGGGGUCUUCUCCAUGCCCACUUCCUUCUUAUCAUGGAGGGGUGA